rnacentral:lncRNA from 1 species
GAAAAUCCAGGAAUUAUGAUUUUUUCAUCAUUUUGAGUAGGGGGAAGUUUUAUUACCCCUUUAUGAACAUGGUAAUAAAUGUUAUCCACUACACAAUUUUGUGUAAAAAAUGCAGCACUAAUCAAUCCAAAUUGUUUUGCAACUUCAACAGCCCAAGGGAGGAAUGGAUCAUAUACUAUGCAAUUUACAGGACAUCCACUAAUUGCCAAUUUUUGAAUAAGUUGAGACAGAGUAUCCGAACCAAUUUCUUUGAAUCGUGUAAUAUAGGCCACGAAAGUUCCUGCUUGAUCGCGACCACCAUCAUCAUAGCCAUCAGAUAUGGCCUCAAUUGACAUAGAAGUUGGCAAUUCCUUCAUGUUUUUCAAAAAGGAUUUUGUGAGUGCUAUAGUGAUUUUAACGCGUUUGGAUCGUAAACGUUUGGAGAAUUGAAGCAUUGGGUUGAUAUGACCUUGGACUGGAUAUGGCAAGAUCAAGCAAUGAGCUUUGUGAGUAGUCAUCUCUUGCAACUUCUCAAUUGAUGGCUGAAAUAAAAAAAAAUCAACUUAGUGUUGUAUAUUCUUAUAGUUAGUUGAUUGAGUUGAAGUGUACAAUUUGGAUUAUUGUGUGUUGGCUUCUUCCUCUUCUAUAUUCCAACUUUUUAUUGCCAACAUAUGCAAUGACACAAGACAAUUAUUGGGUAUACAAUGUACUAGUGACAUCUAAAUCUUAUCAAUAAAAAUUAAUGACUAAUAUAAAUGAAUUCACGUAAAAGGGUUAAAAAUAUUCUUAAACUAUAUAAAAUUCAAUAAAAAUAUUCUUAGCUAAUAACUUCAUCUAAAAUACUAUUGUCAUUUUUAAGAUUAAUAACUUUUUUAUGUUUUUUUUUUUUUGUUGACAUUAAAGGGGGGAAACGGAAUGGAUAAAGGUGAAAAAUAGAAUCUUUAAAAUAUUCUUUGAGAUUUGAAGAGAUUUUUGUAUGUCGGGUUUUUUCUUCCUCGUAAAAUUUGGAUUAAAAAAUCAAAAUGGUCAUAUUUUUAUAUACAUAAAGGACUAUUUUAGUAAGCUAAUGUAUAAAUAUAAAAGGACCAAGAAUAUUCAAACCCCAUAUAUCAAGGACCAUUUUGGUUAUUUUCACACUCAUUAAAAGUUUUAGUUUGAUCAAAAGGUUAAUAAAUUAGAAGGUCACUAAUCGGAAAAAAAAAGAUAAUGAAAAAAACUGUUUCCUUCUCUCUUCUUUCUUGUUGAAAAAUCUCUUAAAAUAUCGUAUUUGUUGCCUCUUCAAAAAAAAAUGAUCCAUUAUUAUAAAUAUGAACCGAAUAAAUUAGAUAAAAUACUCCAUUUCUCUUUUUUGAGAUCUCCAUAACUAAGUUUUUUUCAAGUUUUAAACAACUAUUCUCUGGAAAAGGUCUAUUAAUAGGGAAUAGGGACAAACUAGUUAGUCAAUUAGAUAAAAAUCCUUCAAAUUUAAAAAAUAAAAUAAAAUUGAUAAAUGAUAUAAAUUAAGGAUCGUCGUGAGUAACAGAAAAUCAAGUAAAGCAGUCUAGCUAGCUAGAGAAUUGAGCUUCUUAUAAACUCAAAACAAUACCAUUAUAAAAAAAAAAUAUCAAACUUUGGUACUUCAAUCAGAAAAAAGUAAUUACAAAAUACAAAUCUAUUUCUUUAUCAUUUAGGAAAUAGUAACCAACUUGGAAACAAAUUCUUCAAUGUUUUUAUCUGAACUUCCUCCUUCAUUCACAACAUUUCUAGCUAUUUCCUUCCAUUUCUUUGCAUUUUCUCUAAUUAGUUUUCCUUUAUCUUCUUCCAUCACUAGCUUUAUACAUUCUUCUAUAACUUCUCUUCUAACUACCCCUUUUUCAUCUUGUUUGGCUCUAACACCUAUUUCCCAAACAUCUUUCACAAGCUUUGCAUUUGUUGGUUGAUCAGACCAUUGUGGCAUUGCCACCAUUGGCACUCCCAAACUAAUCGCUUCCAGAGUUGAAUUCCAUCCACAGUGCGUCAGAAAACAACCUGUCGAUUCAUGUUCCAACACUUGUAAUUGUGGACACCAUGACACCACUAAGCCUUUUUCACUUGUUAAUUCCUCAAUAAAGUUGUUGGGAAGUUUGGGCUCUUCAGUAGACCUAACAACCCACAAGAAGCUCUUGUUGCUAUUCUUCAAACCCCAUGCCAAUUCUUCCAUUUGCUCAUCUCCUAAUUUGGUUAUACUUCCAAAUGAUACAUACACCACUGAGCUAAUUGGUUGAUGGUUUAACCAAUUUAGACAUUCAUUUGUCAUUGGCUUGAAGACACUAAGACCAUACUCUUUAUCAUCAUGUAGUCUCUUGUCUAAGUACAUUGAUGGUAUUGUUGGUCCAAUUGUCUUUAUUGGAUAUAUCUUUGACAUCCAUUCAAUUACCUACAUGUCAAACAAUAAAAAGUUCAUGUAACCAUUUGAAUAAUUUGUACAAUAACUUAGGUGACUAGAACAGAAAGUCUAAGGCAUUAUACAUAGUUUAAUUCCUUCUAUGUUUUCUAUACUAUCCAUAGCAGAGUCAGAAUUUUCAUUAAGCAGUAUCCAUAGCAGAGUCAGAAUUUUCAUUAAACAGUAUCCAUAGCAGAGUCAGAAUUUUCAUUAAUCAGUAUCCAUAGCAGAGUCAGAAUUUUCAUUAAUCAGAUGAAGAAGUUAAGGGGCUUCAAUAAUACCUCACAUAUGCUUUGUCAGUUCAUUUUUUAUACGCGAAGAAGAAACAGAACGACAUGUUACCUCUUUCUCCAACUCAUAGAAGCUAUUGAUUAGAACACAAUCAACUUUGUCAAGAUUUGAGAAUUGAUUUGCUAACAUUUCAACUAUCCUUUCUGCUUCAGGACUAAUAACAAAAGAAGGUACAUCUGAUGCAUCGAUCGAAUUUGGAAAUCCAGGAAUUAAUAUUUCUUCGUCAUUUUGAGUAGGUGGAAGUUUUAUCACCCCUUUAUGUACAUGGUAAUAAAGAUUAUCCACUACACAAUUUUGUGUGAAAAAUGCAGCACUAAUUAAUCCAAAUUGUUUUGCAACUUCAACAGCCCAAGGAAUGAAUGGAUCAUAUACUAUGCAAUUUACAGGACAAUCACUAUUUUCCAAUUUUUUAAUAAGCUGAGACAGAGUAUCCGAACCAACUUCUUUGAAUCGUGUUAUGUAGGCUACGAAAUUUUCUGCUUGAUGGAAACCACCAUCAUCGUAGCCAUCAGAAAUCGCCUCGAUUGAUACUGAAGUUGACAAUUCUUGCAUUGUUUUCAAACAGGAUUUUGUGAGUGCUAUAGUGAUUUUAACGCGUUUGGAUUGUAAACGUUUGGAGAAUUGAAGCAUUGGGUUGAUAUGACCUUGGCCUGGAAAUGGCAAAAUUAAGCAAUGAGCUUUGUGAGUAUUCAUUUUUUAUUUUUUAUUUUUUGCAACUUCUCAAUGAAUUGAGUUAAUAAUAAUAGAUAGGAUGAGAAAAAUUAUGUGGUUGUUAUAGUUAGGUGAUAGAGUUUGAAGUGUCUUUUUGGCUUAUUUUGUCUAUUAUUGAUACAAAGUUUUUAUUGCAAACAUGUGUAAUAAAUAUGCCAAUAUAUAUUGUUUGAUAUAUUACUUGGAAUCUAGGGAUAUCACUUUUAUUUUGAGGGAUAAAGAAUAACUAAUCUCAAGAUUAAUUUUGAUGAUUAUGUUUGGCUAAUUUUGAAAUAAUUAAUUUCGAGAUAACUCGAUUCCUAACCAACAUGUACAGUGACACAAGUGUUAAGAAGUCCCAUAUCGGUAAAGGAAUGAAAAUUUGAUCUCCUUAUAUGGACUUAGACAAACAUCUCCUUAUAAACUAAUUUUUGAGGUUGAGUUAGACACAGAUAACAAAACUUAAUAAUAAACGAUAUCAUUUAAAAUGUUGUCUAAAAAAAGUGACACAAUUUAUUACUUUACUUGGAAGAUGCCUUUUUGUAGACAUUUACUUUUAAUUACUGAAUUUAAAUAAUAAAAUAUUUUGAUUGUAUCUUAAAUUCAAAUAAUCAUAUAAUUUGCAAUAAAAAUUACGGACCGAUAUAACUGAAUUUAUGUAAAAGGGUUAAAAAUAUUCUUAAAUUAUGUAAAAUUAAAUAAAAAUAUUCUUAACUAAUAACUUGGUUUAAAAUGCUAUUGUCGUCAAUAGUUUAAUUCAAAAAUAUUCUUAUUGUUACUUAAUUAACGAAUUACUUAUCCACCGUCUAGCUCCCCUCUCUCGCUUCCUGUUCCCCAAAAUAUCAAAUAAUAUUAAGAUCAUAAUUACUCACUCUUUAAUAUAAAUGCAUAAUAAUUAUAAUUAACGUGAAAUUUGUGUUGUGUGUCAUUUAAAAAAAUAUAAAAGAAAGGAUACUAGGAAGAUUCAGGUCAAACUUUGGUAAUUCAAUAAGAAAAAGAAAUUACAAAAUACAAAUCCAUUUCUUGAUUAUUUUUAUGGCUCUUAAUUAACUUUUUUAUUACUUAGAGAUAUAUUAACCAACUUAUAGCUUGUUACAUAAAUAGUCUUAGCAAAUGUCAUCAAUCCAUACCAUCAAUAGACACUAUUACAAAUUAUAGCUUGUUACAUAAAUAGACAUAUUAUAGCUUGUUACAUAAACAGUCAAUUUAUAGCUUAUUACAUAAAUAGUCUUAACAAAUGUCAUCAAUCCAUACCAUCAAUAGACACUAUUACGAAUUAUAGCUUGUUACAUAAAUAGCCGAAUAAUAGCUUUAUAGCUUGUUACACUUGUUACAUAAAUAGCCAAAAUAUUUGCUUGUUACAUAAAUAGCCAAUUUUUAGCUUGUUACAUAAAUAGACAAAUUAUAGCUUGUUACAUAAAUAGUCUUAGCAAAUAUCAUCAAUCCAUACCAUCAAUAGACACUAUUACAAAUUAUAGCUUGUUACAUAAAUAGCCAAAUUAGAGCUUGUUACAUAAAUAGCCAAUUUAGAGCUUGUUACAUAAAUAGCCAAAUUUUUAGCUUCUUAUAUAAAUAGCCAAAUUAUAGCUUGUAACAUAAAUAGCCAAAUUAUAGCUUGUUACAUAAAUAGUCUUAGCAAAUGUCAUCAAUCCAUACCAUCAAUAGACACCAUUACAAAUUAUAGCUUGUUACAUAAAUAGCCAAAUUAGAGCUUGUUACAUAAAUAGCCAAUAUAUAGCUUAUUAUAUAAAUAGCCAAUUUUUAGCUUGUUACAUAAAUAGCCAAAUUGUUUUAGCCUUCCACAAUAAUAGGUAAAAGGUAGAAAAUAAAGGAAGAUUCAAGUCAAUAUCCUACUUAGAAGAAAUAGUCAUCAACUUGGAAACAAAUUCUUCAAUGUUUUUAUCUGAACUUCCUCCUUCAUUCACAACAUUUCUAGCUAUUUCCUUCCAUUUCUUUGCAUUUUCUCUAAUUAGUUUUCCUUUAUCUUCUUCCAUCACUAGCUUUAUACAUUCCUCUAUAACUUCUCUUCUAACUACCCCUUUUUCAUCUUGUUUGGCUCUAACACCUAUUUCCCAAACAUCUUUCACAAGCUUUGCAUUUGUUGGUUGAUCUGUCCAUUGUGGCAUUGUCACUAUUGGCACUCCCAAACUAAUUUCUUCCAGUGUCGAAUUCCAUCCACAGUGCGUUAGAAAACAUCCUAUCGACUCAUGUUCCAACACUUGUAAUUGUGGACACCAUGACACCACUAGUCCUUUUUCAAUUGUUAAUUCCUCUAAAAAGUUGUUGGGAAGUUUAGAUUCUUCAUUAGACCUAACAACCCACAAGAAGCUCUUGUUGCUAUUCUUCAAACCCCAUGCCAAUUCUUCCAUUUGCUCACUUCCUAGUUUGGCUAAACUUCCAAAUGAUACAUACAACACUGAGCUAAUUGGUUGAUGGUUUAACCAAUUUAGGCAUUCAUUUGUCAUUGGCUUGAACAUACUAAGCCCAUACUCUUUAUCAUCAUGUAGUCUCUUGUCUAAGUACAUUGAUGGUAUUGUUGGUCCAAUUGUCUUUAUUGGAUAUAUCUUCGACAUCCAAUCAAUUACCUACGUGACAAACAAUUAGCAGAUGCAUACAUAUCUUAUUUUAAUUGAGUUUAAGAGUUCACUUGAUUGAAAAAGAGCAAAAAGAUUCAAAAUACAAACUCAUACAAGUAUAAGAAUUUUCAUCAGACUAUUUCGUUAUAUUUUUAUCAGGUAAUACUUAUCUUUUAAAAUGAAAAAUAGUGACUUACAAACAUAGAAAAAGAACAAAAAGAUGAAGAGUAUUUGUGUUACCUCUUUCUCCAAUUCAUAAAAGCUAUUGAUUAAUACCCAAUCAGUUUUCUCAAGAUUUGAGAAUUAAUUCACCAAUAGUUCAAUUAAUUUAUCUGUUUCAGGACUUGACUCAAAACUAGGUACAUAUGAACUUUCGAUUGUACAUGAUAAUCCAGGAAUUAAUAUUUUUUCAUCACUUUUAGUAGGUGGAAGUUUUAUUACCCCUUUAUGUGCAUGGUAAUAAAUAUUAUCCACUACACAAUUUUGUGUGAAAAAUGCAGCACUAAUUAAUCCAAAUUGUUUUGCAACUUCAACAGCCCAAGGAAGGAAUGGAUCAUAUACUAUGCAAUUUACAUGACAUCCACUUUUUGCCAAUUUUUUAAUAAGCUGAGCCAGAGUAUCCGAACCAACUUCUUUGAAUCGUGCUAGGUAGGACUCGUAUGUUUUUGCUUGGUUGAUGCCAUCAUCGUCGUAGCCAUCAGAUAUGGCCUCGAUUGACACGGAAGUUGGCAAUUCUUUCAUGUUUUUUAAGAACGAUUUCGUAGGUGCUAUAGUGAUUUUAACACCUUUGGAUUGUAAACGUUUGGAGAAUUGAAGCAUUGGGUUGAUAUGACCUUGGACUGGAUAUGGCAAAAUCAAGCAAUGAGCUUUGUGACUACUAUUACUCAUCUUUUGCGAGUAUUAUCUCUUUAAUCGUUGAAGGACGUGAAAAUCGUGUUGUGAAAUGUGAUUUGUAUAUUAUAAGUUAGAAUUUUUUAUAUUAAUUUCAUGAAUAAAAAUAUAAGAUAAAUUAAUCAAAGUUUACGUAAUUAUUAUUAUAAGUCAUUUAAAAUGUGUCCAUUAGUAUAACUACAUACGAGUAUGGUCCAUAUUGCAUCUAAGUCAAAUAAACCAUAAAUUAUUGGUGCUAUUUUCAUUGAAUUACAAUCAAUUUACUGUGUGUGUUAAAUUCUCGAAAAUUAUUCCAGCUGGAGAUAUAUAAAAAUUAUUUAUUUUUAUAUUUGUAAUUUGUAUAAUAACAUCUGUAUUUGUAUAAGUGUAAGUGUAUAGAAAAGAUUUAUAUAUACAUUUUUUCUCUCUUUAUACAAAGAAAAAUAUUUUAUACAUUUUAUAUCGAAAUGUAUAAAAUGACUAAUUGUAUACUAAAAUUGGCUAAUUGUAUAUCGAAUCCGAUGGCAAAAAAAAGGCGAUGUUUGCUGCGAAUUACAAUUAAAAUAAAAUACGGUCAUAACAUUUAAUAUAAAUUAACAAUUUUUUAUUUUAUACAAUUUUCACUUUUAAAAAAGAGUUAAGAAAAACAAAUUGUAAUAGAGAAAAGUAUAAAUUUCAUAUCAAUAUACCAAAUAUUUUAUAUGUAUAUUAUCCAAUAUACCAUAAAUACAUGUAUGUUUAAUAUAAUAUUCACAAAAUAUCAUCAAACCAACGCAAUUUUCAUUAUUACAUGAUUUAUUAAAGUAAAACAUAUGUUAAUUAAUUAUGGUAAAAUAAAAUGAACUAUAAAUUUAAACAUGUGACAUACAUAUAUUGACUUAGUUUAUACACUCGGUGUGGGUAAAUUUUACCCGUGGUAUUGUAUAGAAUAUAUAACAUGAAUAUUGUUGAAUCAUGAUUUACUGCAAUUAGUGCCGGCAAAAUGAGCCCAUAUUUUGGUAACCCGCCCAAACCGACCAUAUUUUAAUGGGUUGGUGAGUGAUUUUUCACAUGGAUAAAAUAUGGGUUGAUACUGAUAUUUGACCCAUAAAAAUAUGGGUAAAGUAUGAAUUAAACUUCUAACUUUUAUUCAUUUAAAAUUCAUGAUAUCAAUAAAAUUAGUGUAAUUUUUCUUCCUUUUUAUGUUAUUCAAUAGAACUAACUAUUCUUUUCUAUUGAAAAUGUGAAAUUUUUGACCCUCCAAAAUAUAUAUAAUUUAAAUGUACAAUCUUUUGUUAAUUAUAAUUACAUUUAAUGUAUUUAUUAAAUUUUAUAUUGGAUAUAUAAUCAAUAAUAGUGUAAAAUAUGCAAAUCAUGUAUUAGUAUUGGCAUUGCUUAAAGUGCAUUACGCAUGUUUUAGUCCUAAAAUGCAACAUUUACUUUGAAAUUAAAAACAUUUUCAUCUUGUUAUUACAUAAAUUUAUUUUAUAUUGAAAAGUUAUAGGAUUUUUUUUAUGAUACAAUAAAACAAAAUGAAGCAUGUUUAACAUUUUCAUCUAAAAGAAGACUAAAAUAUCUUCUCCAUAUUGAAUUUUAAGUAAAGUACUAUUUAUUCAUGAAAAUAUGGGUAAACUAGUAUUUUACCGAUCCAUUUAUUACCCAACUCAUUUUUACCCAUAUCAAAUAUGGGGAGUUGAAUGAUUACGCAUUUUAUGUUUAUCCAUUUUCAACCAGCCCACAUUUGAUCAAACCCGCUUAUUUGCCACCUCCAACUGCAAUUAUAAUCCCGAAAAAUAGUGAGAGUAGCUAAAUAAUUUUUUAUUUUGUUCUUAAUCUAUAUAAGAACCAUAUUAUUGUAUUUAAACUUAGGAUACGAAUAAUAUAUGCAAAAGGGCCUAAAAUAUCCUUAAAUUAUUGGAAAUGGUAUAAAAUAAUCCUUAAUUUAUUUAUCUAUUGGCUCUCAAAUAUCCCUGACAUCCAUUUAUUGACUCCCAAAUACCCGCGACAUCCACGUAUCGAUUGCUAAAUACCCUUCUAUCCACCUUAUUUGGGUCCAAUAUUAACCACUUUUAUAGCGGAUUAUCAUUUAAAUAAUUUUUUUAAAAUACCUAGCAACCAUUUAUUGACCACAACUAAAUUACUUGAAUUAAUUUACAAAACUCAUCCAUUAUAUUCGAUCCAAAUUGACAAUACUUGACUCAAAUUAAUUAUAUCGGCCUUUAUUAACUACACCCGCCUCAAAUUACAUUUACCCCAUCGAUUAAAACAUAUACACCCUCCGUUCCAAACAUUCUGAAAUACAUAUACAAAGGGAGCAAGACGAGUGAGAGAGGAGGAAGGUAAGUGAGAUAGGAGAGCAAUGAAUGAGAAAGUCAGUGUAUUUCAUACACAUGAAUUCACUUAUAUACAAUGUAUCUGAAAUAAAUAUGAAAAGACAAGUCAAAUGUCGACAUGUAAAAUUGUCACGAUCCAAAUCGGGCCGCGACUGACACCCACACUUACCCUCCUAUAUGAGCGAACCAACCAAUCUAAACCUCAACAUUUCAAUAUAAUAUCAACAGGAAGUAAUGCGGAAGACUUAAACUCAUUAAUAAAAACCAAUUCAAUAACUUCUAAAAACUCAACAACUAUUAUUAUCCCCAAAAUCUGGAAGUCAUCAUCACAAGAACAUCUAUCCUCAAAUUAUUAAUCUAAGAGUAUCUAAGAAGCUAAAAUACAUAAAAUGCUAGUCCAUGCCGGAACUUCAAGGCAUCAAGACAUGAAGAGGAGGAUCCAGUCCAAGCUAGAAGCAUUAGCUCACCCUGAUAUCCGGAGUAAUGAAGACUGGCUAGAGUUGCGGUUGAGUUGAAGACGACGGCACGUUUGCUGCACUCCACAAAUAAUCAAAAAGAAAACAUACAAGUAGGGGUCAGUACAAAACACAGGUACUGAGUAGAUAUCAUCGGCCAACUCAAAAUAGAAAACAGUAUAUAUCAGAUAAUAUCAUAAAAUCAACUAUUAUCCUUAGCAUGCAGCAUUUACAAUUACCAUAACCCUUGGUUACAACACCAAGCACAUCAAUGAGGACUCACGCCUCCUCAUCAUACUCAUUUGGGGAUUUAGGUUCAUUAGAUUGAGUAUAUUAACAUCUUUCAAGAUUCAUUAUCUUUAUUCCUCUCGUGUCGAUACGUGACACUCCGCUUCUCAUAUACUAUCCUGGUGUCGGAACGUGACACUCCGAUCCUUAUUCUAUCCUGGUGUCGGAAUGUGACACCCGAUCCAUAUUCUAUCCUGGUAUCGGAAUGUGGCACCCGAUCCAUAUUCUAUCCUGGUAACGGAACGUGGCACCCGAUCCAUAUACUAUCCUGGUGUCGGAACGUGACACUCCGAUCCUCAUAUACUAUCCUGGUACCGGAACGUGGCACCCGAUCCAUAUGCUAUCCUGGUGUCGGAACGUGACACUCCGAUCCUCAUAUACUAUCCUGAUACCGGAACGUGGCACCCGAUUCAUAUACUAUCCUGGUGUCGGAAUGUGACACCUGAUCCCCUAAUCUCACUACUUUCGUUCACCAAGCCUUCUUUUACACUAAGGCAUCAUCAUUAACAAAGUAGAUUAGGGUUUCUCAAGAUUUAGGAUUCAAUAGCUUCAUCAUGCUUAUUUUAUCACAAUUACAUAAUCACAUUCAUGCAAGCAUACAAUUAAGCAUAUAGAAGGGUUUACAAUACUACCCAUACAUAUCAUUCGCUAUUAAGAGUUUACUACGAAUAGUAUAAAAACCAUAACCUACCUCCACCGAAGAUUCGUGAUCAAGCAAGCAAUUUUUCUCAAGGCUUUGUUUUCUCUUCGUUUUCCUCUUGUCUCGAUCGAUCCUCUCUCUCUCUUCUUGUUCUUUCUAUUUUUCUUUAUUCAAACCCUCUUUCUUUUACCCUAAUUAGCAUAUAAUUAAGAAUACAAGAUGGCAAUAAUAACCCACUAAUUUACUCAAGGUUACCUCUUUUAGCCCCCAAGUAAUUGAGUUAUUAAUAUUAAACCACUAACUUUAUAAUUAUAAGCCGGAAUAGUCCAAAACGUCCCUUAAAACAUUAAAGAAAUCCGACUCCGCCUGGGAUUACGCAGCCUGUGACGGGCCGUCGUGCCUGCGACGGUCCGUCCUGCUGCUCCGUCACAGAGUUCAGAGACUCAAUUCUCUGAAGAGUCUGUGACGGUCCGUCACGCCUGUGACGGUCCGUCCUGCCAUUCCGUUACGAAGUUCAGAGAGUCGAUUUCAGUACCCAUUUUUCAGAAUUUCUAAGUGUUUUGAAACGAGACCCCCUCGACGGUCCGUCGUGCCCAUGACGGUCCGUCGUGGGUUCCGUCAUCUCAGCCUGUUUUUCCAGAAAUAAAAUCUGCUGCUCAAAACGACUAAACAGGUCGUUACAAAAAUUCUACUGAAAAUGUUAUCGUUAUAAAUAUGAAAAACAUAUCAUCUAGCCAUACAAUAAUUUAUUCAUUUGUUUACUUAUAAAACAUUGAUAUCAUUGUGGAAAAUUUAAUUAGCUCCAAGCAAUGAAGAUCUGGAUCCAACAUAUCUAUAGUUUAUCUUGCAUUAAGUAGCUUUAGUGCCUAAUUCUGAUAUCUAAUCCAGAAUCAUUUGCUCAUCUUAAUUAAUAUAUAAAUUUGAAAUAUAAAUUAACAAAUUUUAGCUAAUUAUAUUCAAAAGUUCAUUAAAAGUGAGAUGACAAAUAAAGCAUAACAAUUUGGGAGUGUGAAAAAAAACCCAAAUUCACAUAAACAUUAUCUUCAUUGAUAACCAAAUUAUAAUAACAACACUUGAGUUACAAAAGAGAAGUACCGAAAUAAUAAGUAACUAAAGAUAGAGAUAAGAAAGGAAUGAAAAGUUAAAGACUCUAGUAAGAAGAUGAGAGGAAAAGACAAUUUCUUCACAAUACACACAACAAAGUAAUAACAUACUAAUUACAGAUAGAUUACAUAGAAGAAAUUAACUAAAAGGGGAUGAGAUACUAGAACAGAGAAAGGAGAUGCGAGAUAACUGAAAGUCAAAAUUUCGACAUAAUUUUCAUAACCGUUCUCCUAACUCCUAGUCUUAUUUAAUAAAUGGUUAUUAGGUCUGAAUCCCAAAUAAAAAUCUCUAAUAGCCCAUAGGCCUUUAGAGAGUCUACUUGAUUCACAACAAAGUGACUCAUUGACCAUGAUAAGAAAAAUAAAAUUACAAAAUACAAACCAACUUCUUAAUUAUUUUUUAUGGUUCUUAAUGACUUGGGAUAUAGUAACCAAUUUAGAGACAAAUUCUUCAAUAUUUUUAUCUGAACUUCCUCCUUCAUCCACAACAUUUCUAGCUAUUUCCUUCCAUUUCUUUGCAUUUUCCCUAAUUAGUUUUCCUUUAUCUUCUUCCAUCACUAGCUUUAUACAUUCUUCUAUAACUCCUCUUCUAACUAUCCCUUUUUCAUCUUGUUUGGCUCUAACACCUAUUUCCCAAACAUCUUUCACAAGCUUUGCAUUUGUUGGUUGAUCAGACCAUUGUGGCAUUUCCACCAUUGGCACGCCCAAACUAAUCGCUUCCAGAGUCGAAUUCCACCCACACUGCGUCAGAAAACACCCUAUCGACUCAUGUUCCAACACUUGUAAUUGUGGACACCAUGACACCACUAAGCCUUUUUCACUUGUUAAUUCCUCUAAAAAGUUGUUGGGAAGUUUGGAUUCUUCACUAGACCUAACAACCCACAAGAAGCUCUUGUUGCUAUUCUUCAACCCCCAUGCCAAUUCUUCCAUUUGCUCACUUUCUAGUUUGGCUAAACUUCCAAAUGAUACAUACAACACUGAGUUAAUUGGUUGAUGGUUUAACCAAUUUAGGCAUUCAUUUGUCAUUGGCUUGAACAUACUAAGACCAUACUCUUUGUCAUCAUGUAGUCUCUUGUCUAAGUACAUUGAUGGUAUUGUUGGUCCAAUUGUCUUUAUUGGAUAUAUCUUCGACAUCCAAUCAAUUACCUACAUGACAAAAAGUACAAGCAAAAUUAGAUGUAUCUUGUUAUUUUUUUAUACUCCUAAAGAAUUAACCUAAAUAGUCGACAUGCGCCGCUUUAAGAAAGAUAUAUUAAAUUAAAAAGACCAAACAAGCACCCAAAACAUCUAUAUAUAACUACGAAAACUAUAACAACCUCAAUGAACAUAUGAUUUUGUCAGUUCAUUUUUUAUAUAACUUCGAUUAAACAUCUAUAAAAUGGUUAAAAAGCACCAAAACAACCACCAAAAAUAUGUUACCUUUUUCUCCAACUCAUAGAAGCUAUUGAUUAGAACCCAAUCCACUUUGUCAAGAUUUAAAAAUUGAUUUACCAUCAAUUCAAGUAGUGUUGGUCCUUCAGUUUUCAGAUGUACAAAUGUAGGUACAUCUGAACUCUCGAUUGUACAUGAUAAUUCAGGAAUUAAUAUUUCUUCAUCAUUUUUAGUAGGUGGAAGUUUUAUUACCCCUUUAUGUACAUGGUAAUAAAUAUUAUCCACCACACAAUUGUGUGAAAAAUACAGCACUAAUUAAUCCAAAGUUUUUUGCCACUUCAACAACCCAAUAAUUGUAUGGAUCAUAUACUAUGCAAUUUACAGGACAACCACUAUUUGCCAAUUUUUGAAUAAGUUGAGACAGAGU